CAAAUCUGCACAUACUUGUUUAUUUUUAUGUAUGUAUUAAUGUGUGUUUCACUUCAGGUUUUAAAAGAGGUGCAGAUCCUGGAAUGCCUGAACCAACUAUCUGGAGUUUACUUUGGGGCUGAAGGCUGUGCUGGUCCUGUUGUAGAUGCAGCCGAUGGACAGUGUCAGAAGAUACGUACAUUCCAGAGGAUGAGGCCGACACUUAGACCAGCUGGAUCAAACAGCUUGCUAAUGGCAUAGGUUGUACAUACAACAAAAUGACAUUUAUAUGGACCUAACUUAUUUGCAUUACGGUGUAAUUAAAUAAAUACUGUUUGAAUGGAUACACAUUGGUUUUAAGUCUUUACAUAAUAUAAUGUAGUAGUUUAUUUGUUACAGAAGCCCAUGGUGGAGGUUUUCUUUUGUUGUGUUUUUUUCCAAAAUACAGUGAUAUUUAACGCCUAUACUUAUCCUUGAUAAUGAUUGCCUUUUGGGUAAAGAUUCCUCUUUAUCUUUACAGUAACCAGAAAAUUGAGCUAAUGUUUUAAAUUAGCUCCAGUAUUCUUCAAAGGUUCCUUGCCCAAAUAUUGGUAAGCCUGUGUGGCUGGUUACUGUGCUGAUCCACUUUGGGUUUUUUAUCUCCUUCUGGAUUAUUUUAUCUGUGGAUACAGUAAGGAUUGAGGGAUGUGUAUAUUUGUGUUUUCUAGCACAGUCAGAUAUUAAAAAAAAUCUUUUUUUGCUAAACUUACCUAUAAAUGCCAUCUGUAUUUUCUGGGAUUCAGGAUGGGGUGGGAAGACAGAACAGUUGAGUGCUCUGUGUAUAUCUGUAUAAAUUGCUCUUAGUGUAAGAGAAAGUUACUAAUGUAUAACUGAAGGAAGAAAAUAAGUACACUAAAUAAGGUAUGUGCUUCAUUGUUAUGCUGGAGUCUUGCUCUUUGGACCAUGGUUGUUUUGGUCUCAAUAGAUUUUUUCCUUUUUAACACUGAAGUUCAAGUGCCAAAAUGGUGACUGGUUUCUGUUAAAUAGAAGCUGUUCUGGGUAAAUUGCUCUCUCCUUUCCAGAACUGUGCAGGGUAGUUUGUAUCUCUGUGGUGAUUUUUAAAAAAUAAUGUUUAUUGGCCCCAAAUCAUCAUUGCAACAAAGGUAUUCUGGAUUCUGGCAUGGCUUUUUUUCUUUAAUUCCACAGAUUUUCAGGCAGUUUUUACAUUAUAUGUUUAAGAAUAGGAGAUUGCUCAGUUUUUCGUCUGCCAUGACAAUUCAUGGUAAAACAUUACUGUGUUUAAGGGCUGUGAUUGGAAAAAGAGAGAGAAAUGAGCCGAGGGAAAAAACUUAAAUUGAAAGGCAAGAAUUGGAUAGAAAAAAGUGAAAACUUUUAUGAGAGCUAAUACAAAUCAGCAUGUUCUUUAAAAUUCCAUUAAUCACUAUAAGUCAGUCAAAUGCCUUGAAAUACUGGCAUGACUAAUGCUAAUAGACUGCUGACAGUGGAACAGAGCAAGGACUGGAUGCAGAACAGUUUCUUGUGACCGUAUAUCCUUUUGCUAGUGCAGCCUUUCUAGUGCCUUUUCUCUUACAGUAACUUGAGAUUAAUGUAACUGCUCAUAUGUCUUAAAUUAUGAAAGAAAUUAAUUUUUUGAUUAUUUUUCUUGACUGAUCCUAAUGAUAAUAAUAAUGAAAUAAUCUGUUGGUAUGUGGUGGUGGCUUUAAUCAUGAUAGGAACAGUUGAGUUCCAUGCAGUAACAUGAGAUAUUCAAUACUAAGAGAUACAGUAUUUGGUGUGAAAUAACUCAUCUUUCUCAAUCAGAUUUUGCAUUUCACACGGGUGUACAAUACCCAGAAUGCAGCAGUGGGUGGAAGGACACAAACACCUGCAGAAGUGUAUUUCAUGUGCUCUGUUGUAUGUCUCACAUUUGGGGAUGUGGUUUGUGGGUCGUAACCACCACAUGGUUCCUCUGGCUGCUUUCCAAGAAAGAUAAUAUUUUGCAAGAGGUAGAGAAAUAGGGAAGUGUUUCCUCUUUCAUUAAAAGUUUUACAAAAGCAUGCAUAUGUCAAGCACAGGCCAGAUUCUGUGACGUCUCUAUGCUGGAAGUUCAUCAUGAAAAUAGUUGCAUUUCAGGUUUUUUGCAACUUGGAAUCAAUGGAUAAAUAUUGCUUAUGCAAUUCUUACUUUAAGCACUUUGGAUAGGAAAUUUUUGGUAAUUCACUGCUACUGUAGUAUGUUUCAGGAAAGUCAUUAGCAUAGAACUCUUGGGUUUUCAAAUUGAGGAGAAAGAAGUCUCUUAUAGUACCUUCAAAUCAGGUUAAAUUAAAUGCCAGUAUGUAGUAUAAUGUUUUUUGUUUAUAUGUCCCAACUUUCAUUCCAUAUAGUGCUCUUCCUGUAAUUAAAAUGUGAGUGAAAAUUCUCCUUAAAUAAACAUUUAUAUUUUUCCCUGGUGGAAAAAAAAAAAAAAAAGAAUAGGUAUGAAUCAUUAAAUCUUGGUAAUUAAUUGUAAGGUAGCAAAAAAAAA